rnacentral:rRNA from 1 species
GUCGAGAAUCUUUCACAAUGGGGGCAACCCUGAUGGAGCGACGCCGCGUGGAGGAUAAGGUCUUCGGAUUGUAAACUCCUGUCAUGCGUGAACAAGGUUGCUUGGUUAAUACCUGGGCAAAUUGAUGGUAACGCAAGAGGAAGAGACGGCUAACUCUGUGCCAGCAGCCGCGGUAAUACAGAGGUCUCAAGCGUUGUUCGGAAUCACUGGGCGUAAAGGGUGCGUAGGUGGCGUGGUAAGUCAGAUGUGAAAGCCCGGGGCUCAACCUCGGAACUGCAUCCGUUACUGCCAUGCUAGAGUACUGGAGAGGUGACUAGAAUUCUCGGUGUAGCAGUGAAAUGCGUAGAUAUCGAGAGGAAUACCAAAGGCGUAGGCAGGUCACUGGACAGUUACUGACACUGAGGCACGAAGGCCAGGGGAGCGAACGGGAUUAGAAACCCCGGUAGUCC